GGGAGUGUUUGGGCUGAGCCCGAGACUUCCAUAGAACGAGGCUGUCCACUCUAGCUCUUUGAAGCCCUAGAAGGGUUGCUUUGGAGGUGUUAGUUUUAAAAGUCUUUCUCUUUUAAGCUGUAUCCCAUCAGCUUUAAUUAUAGCAAUGACUCGAGUACUAUCAGUAGGAGUCCAGAACUGUGGCCGACUCUGGAGAUCCCAAAAUGAACAAAUCAAGGUUCCGGCUCCCAAGGCCUUCUUAACUGGGUGUGCGGACUUGAAGCGUAUUGGUGAGACUGUCGGUGGGGACCAUGCCCCCCCCAUUAUAUGGACUCUGAGACUGGCUCCACAUCCAACAUAUGGAUCUCCUACAGGAUGCCACAGUACAGUUGAUGGUCAUGUGUCCUCUCGGCUGUGA
rnacentral:lncRNA from 1 species